GUGUCAGCAGCCGCGGUAAUACGUAGGGUGCGAGCGUUAAUCGGAAUUACUGGGCGUAAAGCGUGCGCAGGCGGUUUGGUAAGACAGGUGUGAAAUCCCCGGGCUUAACCUGGGAACUGCGCUUGUGACUGCCAGGCUAGAGUACGGCAGAGGGGGGUGGAAUUCCACGUGUAGCAGUGAAAUGCGUAGAGAUGUGGAGGAACACCGAUGGCGAAGGCAGCCCCCUGGGCCUGUACUGACGCUCAUGCACGAAAGCGUGGGGAGCAAACAGGAUUAGAUACCCUGGUAGUCCACGCCCUAAACGAUGUCGACUAGUUGUUCGUGGAGGUAACUCCGUGAGUAACGCAGCUAACGCGUGAAGUCGACCGCCUGGGGAGUACGGCCGCAAGGUUAAA
rnacentral:rRNA from 1 species